UACGGAGGAUCCGAGCGUUAUCCGGAUUUAUUGGGUUUAAAGGGUGCGCAGGCGGGGGAUUAAGUCGGCGGUGAAAUUUUGCAGCUCAACUGUAAAAGUGCCUUCGAAACUGGUUUUCUUGAGUGUAGCUGAAGUAGGCGGAAUUUGUGGUGUAGCGGUGAAAUGCAUAGAUAUCACGAGGAACUCCGAUUGCGCAGGCAGCUUACUAAACUACUACUGACGCUCAUGCACGAAGGCGUGGGGAUCAAACAGGAUUAGAUACCCCUGUAGU
rnacentral:rRNA from 1 species